ensembl:lncRNA
GUGAGUGAUCGGGAAAGGUGUUGGCUCGGCCUCGAGCCGCGGGCGCGAAGGGGUCUCCGCGACGCCGAGGCGGUAGCCUCUCCCGGAGUCCGGGCGGCGGCCUCGCGUGGAGCUGGGAGGCGCGGAGCUGUCCGUUCAGCACCACCGCGCCGCGCCCCAGAGCAGGGCCCGCGCAGAGGCGCACGGGCUCGGCUCCCGCUCCGGAUCCCGCGGGCUGCGGCGCGCGUCGUUGUCUCUCCUCGGUGCCGAGGGGCGCGCGGAUCUAAAGGGCGGGGGGGUGGGGAGAGGUGGCUCUGCGAUCGUCGGGGCCACGCAGCCACCUGUGAGCCUCCCGCAACUGCGGACGGCGGCGGCCUCUCCGGCCGGAGACAGGAGGCGCUCGGCGGACCCCGCCCGCCCGCCGGGCGCACACACAGGCGCACACACACUCAGAGCACCCUCGCGCACACGCACAGCCAGCCGGCAGCGGCGGCCGCAGCGAUGCUCGCCUGCAGGUCGGGGAAGUUUCCCGCCGGCCUCGGCCGCGGGCCCCAGAGCUCGCAGGUGUAGCGCCCCCGCGCGGCGCGGGCGGCCGGGCGUCUCCAGCAUGACUGGCCAGAGCCUGUGGGACGUGUCGGAGGCCAACGUCGAGGAUGGAGAGAUCCGCAUCAACGUGGGCGGCUUCAAGAAGCGGUUGCGCUCGCACACGCUGCUGCGCUUCCCCGAAACGCGCCUGGGCCGCCUGCUGCUCUGCCACUCGCGCGAGGCCAUUCUGGAGCUCUGCGACGACUACGACGAUGCCCAGCGCGAGUUCUACUUUGACCGCAACCCCGAGCUCUUCCCCUACGUGCUGCACUUCUACCACACCGGCAAGCUUCACGUCAUGGCAGAGCUGUGCGUCUUCUCCUUCAGCCAGGAGAUUGAAUACUGGGGCAUCAACGAGUUCUUCAUUGACUCCUGCUGUAGCUACAGCUACCACGGCCGCAAAGUGGAGCCCGAGCAGGAGAAGUGGGACGAGCAGAGCGACCAGGAGAGCACCACGUCCUCCUUCGACGAGAUCCUGGCCUUCUACAACGACGCCUCGAAGUUCGAUGGGCAGCCCCUGGGCAACUUCCGCAGACAGCUGUGGCUGGCGCUGGACAACCCCGGCUACUCGGUCCUGAGCAGGGUCUUCAGCGUCCUGUCCAUCCUCGUGGUUCUGGGGUCCAUCAUCACCAUGUGUCUCAAUAGCCUGCCAGACUUCCAGAUCCCUGACCGCCAGGGCAACCCGGGCGAGGACCCCAGGUUCGAAAUCGUGGAGCACUUCGGCAUCGCCUGGUUCACCUUUGAGCUGGUGGCCAGGUUUGCCGUGGCCCCCGACUUCCUCAAGUUCUUCAAGAACGCCCUAAACCUGAUUGACCUCAUGUCCAUCGUCCCCUUUUACAUCACGCUGGUGGUGAACCUGGUCGUGGAGAGCACGCCUACCUUGGCCAACUUGGGCAGGGUGGCCCAGGUCCUAAGGCUGAUGCGGAUUUUCCGCAUCUUAAAGCUGGCCAGACACUCCACUGGCCUCCGCUCCCUGGGGGCCACCCUGAAAUACAGCUACAAGGAAGUAGGGCUGCUUCUGCUCUACCUUUCUGUGGGGAUUUCCAUCUUCUCUGUAGUGGCCUAUACCAUUGAAAAGGAGGAGAACGAGGGCCUGGCCACCAUCCCUGCCUGCUGGUGGUGGGCCACCGUCAGUAUGACCACCGUAGGGUAUGGGGAUGUGGUCCCGGGGACCACGGCAGGGAAGCUGACCGCCUCUGCCUGCAUCCUGGCAGGUAUCCUGGUGGUGGUACUGCCCAUCACCUUGAUCUUCAAUAAAUUCUCCCACUUUUAUCGGCGCCAGAAGCAACUUGAGAGCGCCAUGCGCAGCUGUGACUUUGGAGAUGGAAUGAAGGAGGUCCCUUCCGUCAAUUUAAGGGACUAUUAUGCCCAUAAAGUUAAAUCCCUCAUGGCGAGCCUGACGAACAUGAGCAGGAGCUCGCCAAGCGAACUAAGUUUAAAUGAUUCCCUACAUUAGCUGGGAGGGCUUGACAUCCUCAAACCCACAUUGCUGAGCUGUCUCUUGUGCCCCUGGCACAGUCCAGGUACCCUAGGGUUAUGGUGUGAGGAGUAUGCCCAGCCCCAAAGGGGAGAGAAUGCAUGGGAUCUGCACCCCAGGUUGCUUUUACAGUAUUUAGGAUCAUUUUUAGAGGGUGGUGUGUCUGACACCAUGCCUUUGCACCUUUCAGUGAAAUGACACUCACUGGUCUUCGCAUCGUGGGCAUAAAAUGUUCACCUUUCUGCCGGAUGAGUACCACCUAGAAUGCUAAUUUCUCUGUUCAUUGUGUUCUCUCAUCUAGUGCUCAUGGCCCAGGACUGUCUCUGAGUUGUUUGUGCUCCUGUUUCUGAGGCUGUCAUGUGAAUUCCAUAAAAAAGCCCCCACGAAUAUGUCCUGUGGAAACACAUCUGUGGGGCCUGCAAGGAUAGGAUGAGGUUUUGCUCACAGUCAGGUGAAAACAAAAUCUCAAUUAUUUAUCCAUUGCUUUCAUUUAGUUUUAAUAUCAAACAAAGAGAAUGUGAAGUUAAGUAGACAUGACCGAUUCAAGUCUGCGAGUUGUUUUUGUCAAUGAUCUGUAUUGUGACUUGCAUGGGUACCCUGCUCACCUUUCAAAUGAUGUACACCCCUGUUCGCCUCUUAAUGUUGCUCUUUAGAGAAUGUUAGUUUGUUAAACAUGUAGUGAAGACUGAAAUUUUCCCCAAGAAUAGAUGCAUUAGGGCUAGGGACUUCAGCUAAACAUAGGCCAAAUCGCAUGAUGCUUGAAGAUCUUUCAGAAUCAGGCCUCAUUCUUUCCUGGGUGGUUGCAGGGACAUUUAUUUCUUGCUGAGGUUGCUGGUCUAGGUCAUUUGACCAAACUUUGCUGUCUUAGCUAUUAGCAUGUUUCUGAAAUGUUUCUUUUUUAAGGUGUUUAGAAAUAAGAUCGUGUUGUCUUUCUCAACUAACAAGUUUACUGUUGUAUUGUCUUUCUGAGGCAAACGUUGGGCUGCUAGCAAGGGCAGUAGCUUAGAAAAUUUUGUUACCUGCUCUGAAAGCUUAGAUAAAGCUUUUAUUUCCAAGCAGAGUUUACUUAGAUAAUUUUGCUUCUAGGAUACGGUAUGUAACACACAAUGCUCUAAUCACCCCAGAGUUCCUGGUAUGACAUGGACACCCGGUGGCAUGAAAGUGUGUACUCAAAAUAUAGACAAGUGGCUUAUCCAGGAUGGAAAUAUUAUAGUUCUUAUUUCCAUUUCAGCUGCCUUUUGUUGGGGGGAAGGUUGGUGGAGGCCAGGAGAAAGGAAAGAGUUGUAAAACAAAAAAGCAUUGUUAAUAAAAUGUCAUAUAUAAUUGCAAACUUCUUGAAAAGCUUGAUGCUAUUUUAAAGACCCUUAAACUUUCAAACUUGGGUUGAAGAUUAAGAACUCUUUCCUUUUCCAAAAUGCCCUCCCUCCUUCUUCUUCAGUUAAGCAGCAUGUAGCAUUUUGAAGGGUUAACUUGGGUCAUUCUCUGUUAUAUUCUAGGUAAUCAGAUGGUGUUCCAGUUGGCCUCCGUUGUUGUUCUUCUUUGGAAAGGCUACAGAAUCCAGGGGUCCACACGUGGAGUUAGGCAGGCUUUUUCUCCAGGGCUUGGAUCUUCCUUAAAAAGGUCCAUUUUGUCUCUUAGUUGGUUGAAGGUAGUACAUACCCUUCAGAUAGAGUGAGGAUCUUGUCAGAGGCUUUAUGUACUUGUAGUUGCCAUGGCUACACAGAGAGGGCCAUUUGUUGGAUGAAUGCACUAGUCACUUACGCCUUUGGGUCCCCAGUUCAAAUCUCUCCAUCAGACUGGAGCCUCGUAGGGAGCAGGGAGGCAGCCACCUCCUAGUGCUACCUGGUCUACCAUCUACUCCAUUUCUCAGAGUAAGGAAAGGUUUAUCAGGAAAGGUGAGAUGCCUUAGGGGCAACCAGCCACCAAGUCAGAAGAGCAGGGUUAUUUCUCAGAAUUUGCACAUGUAGCACUUGGCUUUGGCUGAUGUUUGCAGCACCAGAAGGCAGAGAAUUUAUGAAAUCAUCUCCAGCUGCACUGGGGCAGGUGAUGGUACAAAUUCGUGAAGACUGUUCAGUUUGCCAAGGCUGAUGGUAUUGGGUCACUGAGCAUGGUAUCCACAGUCACUGACCAGAACACUUGUGAAAAGAGGAAACAAGGCCGGAGGCUGAAUAGCUCAGUCACUCUCCUCAGUAUUCUUUUUAAACAGGAAGGUUUUUACCACUGAAACAAAGAUACUUCUAGUGGUUACUCUUUGCUGAUAUGAAAGCUGGAAAACUUGACUUUUCAUUUUGGUGAUGACUUGCAUUUAUCUGGUGCCUUUCAUUGGGGGAAUCCCAAAGUGCUUUAGAGACUGUCUUUUUAAUAUCUUUUGUACAUAUAUAUAUAUAUAUACUCUUAUAAAAUAUUAUUUUGCCCAUCCUGGAAUUUCAGUCACUUCCAAGCAUGAGAAUAGCCUAAUAGCAUUGAGGGCUCCAAGCAGUGGUUUCAGAUAAGAGGGCGAGAAACCAACCCAGCUGGCUUGAACACUGGAGUUAAUUCCCACAGAGAAUGGAGAUGAAACUCUGAUCCAGGGGGAAAGAACCCUUCCUUCCUUUCCCACAAAGUAGCACCGAGGUACCAGGUACACAGGUCACAAGAGCUCUCGGUGGGGCUUUGAUUAACCUUGUCAGAUAACAUUUGAUGGAGCAGUUUCUUCUGGUCCCUGAAACUAUUCGGUGCAGGGAAGGAGUUGGGAAGGGGUCAGGGGAAUUUUCUGUUCUGUUUCUGGAGUUGAGAGUAUGAUUAUGAGCUGACAGCUUUGGCCACCAGGCUGCCAGACUGACCCAUCAACCCCCUUUGGAGGACACAGACGAAGCUUCAAAGCACCUAUGUCCAGCUGUGGGCUUGAGAACAGCUUCGCUGCCAACACUUGAAGGUUGUUCUUUUCAAUGCCACUGAGACAAAGAUAUAGGUCAUGCUUUUCUCGAAAUGUAUGUGAUAAGCAUUUUGAGAGCGCUGGCUGGGAAGUGACACCAUGUCUUUACUGCAUAGAUGCAUGUUGGUUAUCGUCCAGUGUUUUCUGUCAACCCCCUACAUUUCCUGGCUUUGUUACCAAGGAGGGGCAUGUUGUAAUGCCGAGCUGAUGUGUAGCUCCUAAGGUAGUAAUUGGUAUUUACCGCUUGGAUUUGUUAUUUCUACUCGUCUUAGUGUUCAAAUAAUGGAACUACCUGCUAAUUCUUGCUUCACUUCGAAGAAAAUGAUAUGUUAUGCACUUUGGGAUAGCCGUGAUCUGUACAGGCUGUGUAUUAUCUCCUUGAAGGCUUAACUGGUAUUUCUUGUAUGUUUUAACAGCAUGACUUGUUACAGAGUUGUAAUUUUAAAAAAUCAAGAAUGCUGUAUUUGUGCUGUCAGUUUU